GUGCUCGCUUCAGCAGCACAUCUACUAAAAUUGGACUAAAACAGAUUAGCAUGGCCCCUGCAUAAGGAUGACAUGCAAAUUCCUGAAAUCAGAUCAGCCUUA